rnacentral:rRNA from 1 species
UACGUAGGGGGCAAGCGUUGUCCGGAAUCAUUGGGCGUAAAGAGCGUGUAGGCGGUUCGGUAAGUCGGCUGUGAAAGUCCAGGGCUCAACCCUGGGAUGCCGGUGGAUACUGUCGGGCUAGAGUGCGGAAGAGGCGAGUGGAAUUCCUGGUGUAGCGGUGAAAUGCGCAGAUAUCAGGAGGAACACCGAUUGCGAAGGCAGCUCGCUGGGACGUAACUGACGCUGAGACGCGAAAGCGUGGGGAGCAAACAGG